ACCCGCUGAACUUAAGCAUAUCAAUAAGCGGAGGAAAAGAAACCAACAGGGAUUGCCUCAGUAACGGCGAGUGAAGCGGCAACAGCUCAAAUUUGAAACCUGCCAACAGGCCGGAUUGUAAUUUGUAGAGGAUGCUUUGGGGUAGGCACUGAUCUAAGUUUCUUGGAACAGUACGUCACAGAGGGUGAGAAUCCCGUUCGUGGUCGGUUGCCUGCUCCGUGUAAAGCUCCUUCGACGAGUCGAGUUGUUUGGGAAUGCAGCUCAAAAUGGGUGGUAAAUUUCAUCUAAAGCUAAAUAUUGGCCAGAGACCGAUAGCGCACAAGUAGAGUGAUCGAAAGAUGAAAAGCACUUUGGAAAGAGAGUUAAACAGCACGUGAAAUUGUUGAAAGGGAAGCGCUUGCAAUCAGACUUGCGCGUAGGUAAUCAAGGGCGGUUCGCUGCCCUGCACUUGCCUGCGCUCAGGCCAGCAUCAGUUCUGGGGGUGGGAGAAAGGCCGUUGGAAUGUGGCUCUUCGGAGUGUUAUAGCCUUCGGUGCCAUGCUGCCUCCCGGGACUGAGGACCGCGCUUCGGCUAGGAUGCUGGCGUAAUGAUUGUAAGCGACCCGUCUUGAAACACGG
rnacentral:rRNA from 1 species